CAUAGAUUGGAAAGUAUUGGUAUUCUUAAAAUUCCAUUGAAUAUUAUUGUGAUUAAACGUAUUGCUUUUCGGGGGAAGAUUUUUCAAGAUUUUACCAUUGAUUAGGUCGAUUCCUUGUGCUUUAUUGUCUUUUGUGUUCUCGAUUAUGAUUCUAAUUUCUUGUGCUGUUGUAUUAGGUAUGGUGUAGGGCUUGCUAGUUGGGGUACUAGUAUUUUGCGAAUCUUAGACUGAAUGACGUUUGGUUUUACUGUUGUUAAUAUUAUAUGGAAUAAGUCCAUAGUUAAAGUGACUGCUCUGUAGUUAUAAGAACAAGUGAAGUUCGUUCUUGUGUGAUUACGGAGGAAAGCCCGGAGUGGGUGUCUUUGUUGUAUGAAG
rnacentral:misc_RNA from 1 species